GGGUGUGAUCGUGCCAACGUUAAUGCACUAGAUCCCAUCAGAACUCCGCAGUUAAGCGCCCUUGGGCCAGAGUAGUACUAGGAUGGGUGACCUCCCGGGAAGUCCUAUUGUUGCACCCU
rfam:Picea glauca, whole genome shotgun sequence.